UUCUCAUCCCUUCCCUCAAAACAAGCUGGGGCCGGGCGUGGUGGCUCAUGCCUGUAAUCCCAGCACUUUGGGAGGCCGAGGUAAGUGGAUCAUCUGAGGUCAGGAGUUCGAUACCAGCCUGGGCAACAUGAUAAAACCCCAUCUCUACUAAAAAUAAAAAAAUUAGCCGGGCGUGGUGGCACAUGCCUGUAGUCCCAGCUACUCAGGAGGCUGAGGCAGGAGAAUCUCUUGAACCCGGGAGGCAGAUGUUGCAGUGAGCCGAGAUCGUGCCAUUGCACUCCAGCCUGAGCAACAAGGGCGAAACUCCGUCUCAAAAAAAAAGCUGGGGAACUCUUGGGCUGCCCAUCUCUGAGCCAAUCCCCGCACCUGGAAGGAUCACAUGUUCUGACAGACUCAAAAUUGGAGUUGAAUCUGUGCCCAGAGAGCAGACAAGGCAGGCACUGGGCAGUGAUGGGUACAUGACCUCGGCAGACACAAAUAAGGCAAAAUCCUGGACUUUGGCAGCAGUUGUUGGAAACAAAACAUCUCUCUCGCCGGUGUGGCUGAAGAGAGGCCACAGCCUGGAGUCGUGAUGCCACAGAGAGAGCCUGCCCAAGACCAGAGCCCAAACAGAGGAAGAGAGAGCCAAGGGCUGGAGAGGGACAGGGCCUGAGGCCAUCACUGAAGUGCUGGGGCCCAGCCA
rnacentral:lncRNA from 1 species